AUUGAACGCUGGCGGCAUGCCUUACACAUGCAAAUCGAACGGCAGCACGGGAGCAAUCCUGGUGGCGAGUGGCGAACGGGUGAGUAAUAUAUCGGAACGUGCCCAGUCGUGGGGGAUAACGCAGCGAAAGCUGUGCUAAUACCGCAUACGAUCUAUGGAUGAAAGCGGGGGAUCGCAAGACCUCGCGCGAUUGGAGCGGCCGAUAUCAGAUUAGCUAGUUGGUGGGGUAAAGGCCCACCAAGGCGACGAGCUGUAGCUGGUCUGAGAGGACGACCAGCCACACUGGAACUGAGACACGGUCCAGACUCCGACGGGAGGCAGCAGUGGGGAAUUUUGGACAAUGGGCGCAAGCCUGAUCCAGCAAUGCCGCGUGCAGGAUGAAGGCCUUCGGGUUGUAAACUGCUUUUGUACGGAACGAAACGGUCUGCCCUAAUACGGUGGGCUAAUGACGGUACCGUAAGAAUAAGCACCGGCUAACUACGUGCCAGCCGCCGCCGUAA
rnacentral:rRNA from 1 species